AUGCUUGCAUCAGAUGACGAGUGGCGCACGGGUGAGUAACGCGUAUACAAUCUACCUUUUACAGGGGGAUAGCCUUUAGAAAUGAAGAUUAAUGUCCCAUAGUAAGUUGUUAUUGCAUGAUAGUAACUUUAAAGUUUCGGCGGUAAAAGAUGAGUAUGCGUUCUAUUAGCUAGAUGGUGUGGUAACGGCACACCAUGGCGACGAUAGAUAGGGGCCCUGAGAGGGGGAUCCCCCACACUGGUACUGAGACACGGACCAGACUCCUACGGGAGGCAGCAGUGAGGAAUAUUGGACAAUGGGCGAGAGCCUGAUCCAGCCAUGCCGCGUGCAGGAAGACUGCCCUAUGGGUUGUAAACUGCUUUUAUACAGGAAGAAACCUUUUCACGUGUGAAAAGCUGACGGUACUGUAAGAAUAAGGAUCGGCUAACUCCGUGCCAGCAGCCGCGGUAAUACGGAGGAUCCAAGCGUUAUCCGGAAUCAUUGGGUUUAAAGGGUCCGUAGGUUGAUAAUUAAGUCAGGGGUGAAAGUUUGCAGCUUAACUGUAAAUUGCCUUUGAUACUGGUUGUCUUGAAUUAUUGUGAAGUGGUUAGAAUAUGUAGUGUAGCGGUGAAUGCAUAGAUAUUACAUAGAAUACCAAUUGCGAAGGCAGAUCACUAACAAUAUAUUGACACUGAUGGACGAAAGCGUGGGGAGCGAACAGGAUUAGAUACCCUGGUAGUCCACGCCGUAAACGAUGGAUACUAGCUGUCGGUUUCAAACUGAGUGGCUAACGAAA
rnacentral:rRNA from 1 species